CCUACGGGAGGCAGCAGUGGGGAAUAUUGCACAAUGGGGGAAACCCUGAUGCAGCGACGCCGCGUGAGUGAAGAAGUAUUUCGGUAUGUAAAGCUCUAUCAGCAGGGAAGAAGCAAGACGGUACCUGACUAAGAAGCACCGGCUAACUACGUGCCAGCAGCCGCGGUACUACGUAGGGGGCAAGCGUUAUCCGGAUUUACUGGGUGUAAAGGGAGCGUAGACGGUAUGGCAAGUCUGAAGUGAAAGCCCAGGGCUUAACCCUGGGACUGCUUUGGAAACUGUUAGACUAGAGUGCUGGAGAGGUAAGUGGAAUUCCUAGUGUAGCGGUGAAAUGCGUAGAUAUUAGGAGGAACACCAGUGGCGAAGGCGACUUACUGGACAGUAACUGACGUUGAGGCUCGAAAGCGUGGGGAGCAAACAGGAUUAGAUACCCCUGUAGUC
rnacentral:rRNA from 1 species